CUAAAGAAAUUAUGUGCAUAUUUAGCUGUAACGAUGGAUAAUUUGCAAAAAAUAAGCGACGCAGGACUGAUGAAGGUGAAGAUAUUCGCUGCUGAUGUCACCCGUGUGCGUCAAGUCCAAGUUGGCGGAAAUCCUCUGAGAGUUCCACCCAACUGAACUCUACUGAUCCAAACCAAGCCAGGCCUGCAAAUCAUAUCUCCCCCAACACCUCAAGUGGAUGACUAAAACACUAGAAACA